UACGUAGGGUGCAAGCGUUUAUCCGGAAUUAUUGGGCGUAAAGAGCUCGUAGGCGGUUUGUCGCGUCUGCUGUGAAAACUGGAGGCUCAACCUCCAGCCUGCAGUGGGUACGGGCAGACUAGAGUGCGGUAGGGGAGAUUGGAAUUCCUGGUGUAGCGGUGGAAUGCGCAGAUAUCAGGAGGAACACCGAUGGCGAAGGCAGAUCUCUGGGCCGUAACUGACGCUGAGGGGCGAAAGCAUGGGGGAGCGAACAGG
rnacentral:rRNA from 1 species